UUAAUUUGCAUUGCUGUGAGUCAGGAGUGAGACCUUGUUUCAGCUUUGUCAUUUUCAAGCUGUUGUGGGUUCAUAAACUUUUUCUUAAUUGAUUCUUUUAAAGGUAGAAAGCUAAAAUAUUGAAAAAGUACUUGAAUACUUGGCUGUUUAGAUGCUCCUUUUCUGCCUUCCAAGUUGAUGUAACCUUUGGUGUUUUGCCGUCAACUUUAUGAUGUAAAUGGCUCUAAUUAACAAUGUUAUUACAGGCUGAUUUAUCCAUCAUAGAUUUGCUUGAGGAUGAUACAAGGAAGCUUUUAGAAAAUGCACCAUUCUGUUCUGUCUUUUCUUCUAUUGGUUUAAUCCGUAGACAGCAUGGCAAAAAUGGAUAUCUUAUCAAUUGAAGAUUAUGCUUCUUUUUUUUUUUCUCUCAAUCUUUUUUUUUUCCUAUCAUUCUCUUCCUCCCUUCCUUUUAAUUGUAAGAUUGAUAACUAAGUGUUGCGCACGGUCAUAUAUGAGAUGGUUUCCUGAAAUUGAACAAAUCUGGAGUGGCUUGUGCAACUAUUAAUUUGAAUGCAUUGUGCUUUUGAGCCAAUGCUCAAAUAUGUGUCUUGUUGUAUAGGCUUUUGAUGUUUGCACUAUUUGCUUCUUUUUAUUUUUGAAUUUUGCUCUAUUCAUGUUGAAUUGCUCUUUUGCAUGCAGAAGGAAUCACCACUGGGGCUUG
rnacentral:misc_RNA from 1 species